ACGGCUCAGUAACACGUGGACAACCUACCCUUAGGUCAGGAAUAAACCCGGGAAACUGGGUAUAAUACCCGAUAGAUCUCGAUUGCUGGAAUGCAUCGAGCUCGAAAGCUCCGGCGCCUAAGGAUGGGUCUGCGGCCUAUCAGGUAGUAGUGGGUGUAGCGUACCUACUAGCCUACGACGGGUACGGGUUGUGAGAGCAAGAGCCCGGAGAUGGAUUCUGAGACACGAAUCCAGGCCCUACGGGGUGCAGCAGGCGCGAAAACUUUACAAUGCUGGCAACAGCGAUAAGGGGACCUCGAGUGCCAGGUUACAAAUCUGGCUGUCGUGAUGCCUAAAAAGCAUUGCAUAGCAAGGGCCGGGCAAGACCGGUGCCAGCCGCCGCGGUAACACCGGCGGCUCGAGUGGUAACCGUUAUUAUUGGGUCUAAAGGGUCUGUAGCCGGCCGGAUAAGUCUCUUGGGAAAUCCAGCAGCUCAACUGUUGGGCUUUCAGGAGAUACUGUCUGGCUCGAGGCCGGGAGAGGUGAGAGGUACUUCAGGGGUAGGGGUGAAAUCUUAUAAUCCCGGGAAGACCACCAGUGGCGAAGGCUGUCUGCUAGAACGCGCCCGACGGUGAGGGAUGAAAGCUGGGGGAGCGAACCGGAUUAGAUACCCGGGUAGUCCCAGCUGUAAACUAUGCAGGCUAGGUGUUUGGGCGGCCACGUGCCGCUCUAGUGCCGCAGGGAAGCUGUUAAGCCUGCCGCCUGGGGAGUACGGUCGCAAGAUUGAAACUUAAAGGAAUUGGCGGGGGAGCAC
rnacentral:rRNA from 1 species